AUUGAACGCUGGCGGCGUGCCUAACACAUGCAAGUCGAGCGGCAGCGCGGGGCAACCUGGCGGCGAGCGGCGGACGGGUGAGCAAUAUUUGGGAAUCUGCCUAUUAGUGGGGGACAACCCGGGGAAACUCGGGCUAAUACCGCAUACGCACUACGGUAGAAAGCCGGGGACCGCAAGGCCUGGCGCUAAUAGAUUAGCCCAAAUCGGAUUAGCUAGUUGGUGAGGUAACGGCUCACCAAGGCGACAAUCCGUAGCUGGUUUGAGAGAACGACCAGCCACACCGGAACUGAGACACGGUCCGGACUCCUACGGGAGGCAGCAGUGGGGAAUAUUGGACAAUGGGCGAAAGCCUGAUCCAGCGACGCCGCGUGGGUGAAGAAGGCCUGCGGGUUGUAAGCCCUUUCGGUUGGGAAGAAAUGUAUUGACCUAACACGUCAGUACCUUGACGUAACCAACAAAAGAAGCACCGGCUAACUCUGUGCCAGCAGCCGCAGUAACAC
rnacentral:rRNA from 1 species